rnacentral:tRNA from 1 species
UCCGGGGUGGCUCAGUGGUAAAGAGUCUGCCUGCCAAGCAGGAGAUUCAGGUUCAAUCCCUGUGUGGGAA